UAACACACAGCAAGGAAGUAAGCAUUCAGUGCUUUUGGUUGGCAUGGAGCAGCACAUGCCAGAUAGCAGGCUCAGAUCAGCAACUGGCAGCUUCCUUAACUUUGUUAGUGUUAGCCUUCCAAACUGUAUCCACCAAGAUGUCCUGCUUUGUGGCCAGAGCCACCAUCUCUGGGGCAGAGGAUAAGUGUUCAGCCAAACCUUCCUGGAGCACUGGGCAGGAGAAUGAAUUCAGCAGUAUCUGAUGCCUGAAGUAUUGACUUCUGUGAAGGUAACUUCGGUGACUUUGCAAAUCUGUCCUGCAAGAGUCCAUAACCACCACUUGACCACUUGACUUCAGGUUAGAUAUCAGGGAAAGGUUCUUCAUGGAACAGGCUGCCCAGGGCAGCGGUCAUGGCACCAAACUGCUGGAGUUCAGGGAGCAUUUGGACAGUGCUCUCAGACAUAGGGUUUGAAUUUUGGGUGGCCCUGUGUGGAGCCAGGGGUUGGACUCAAUGACCCUUGUGGGCCCAUUCCAACUCAGGAUAUUCUAUGAUUCUAUAACCUACCUAAAAAUGUGCUAAUCUGUGAAAUGUCUUUGGGGCUCUAAAUGUAUUCAGAAUUAUUUAUUAUUAGACUAAAUAGUCCCCAGAGUAUCAAAAUAAAUGUAAAAUAUCAUAACUCCAUUUAUCAAGUUAGCUCAGCAAAUAUUUUCCUUCAAAACUUCUUCCAUGUGUCAAAAGUGAAUAGAGAUAUCCAUAUCUGUAAGAAACCAACAUUUCUAAGAACAUUUCUACAGUCUGUACAGUUUAUGCUUUAUUAUUUGUUCACUGUCACUUUGUGAUCUUUGGUUUAUUCCAUUAAAAGCUGUGCCCUUCUCGGAAGGAGCUACUGCUGUUUAGCCUUUGUUUUUUGAUGGGAUUUAUUCAGGUAGUCAGUGACCUUUCCUAUGUGCCCUAUUGAUUGUCUAGAAGGGCUCAGCCUGACAAGGUGAAAAUAGCUACAGUGUUUUAUUGUUUCUAGUACUUGUUUAUUUGCCUGGUUAUGCAAUGCACUUAUAGACUGGUUGGCUGAUUGAUUUAUUGCUGCUUUGUACAGCUGCAGGCAUCCUUCUGGGUGACCUGGCUGGAGAAGGAUUUUCAACAGCUAAGGGCUUGUGCCAGUGUCCAUGAUUAACAAAUUACAUGGAAGGCAUUUUAGUCAAAACCACUCUUGUAACCCAUGGCUGUCCAUUUGCCAUUGCAUGUAAAUGCUCGUGUAUGUUGAAAGCCUGCCAGCUGGCCAUGCAGUGGAUUACUGCUGAGACAAUGUAAAGGAAACAGGGAAAAUGUACUGGAAAAAGAUUGCAAAGGAGCAACUCUAGCUUCCAUCACCACUGUGUAACAACCUUUCAAAGAGCAAAGCGAGCAUGGGACAAAGCAAUGUUUUCCUCCAGCAUCAUUUGUUCCCCCAAGACUUCAGUUGGCAGAGACCUCAGCCAACUGGGCAGAGCAGGAAUCCAUGGCUAAAGCGUGAAUGUGAAGUGUAGCUGAAUGGGGAGACUUUUUGUUGCCCUGGCAAUCCAAGAAUGCACCAUUUCCAAUGAUCCAGAAAUACAACAUGAUUUUCAUCUCUCCAGCGACCUCUGGCCAGCUGUACCAUAUAAGCAACACAAAUCCUUUGACUAGAGGUGAGGUCUGGGCUUUCACAGGGCAACAGUCAAAUGUUACUGUACAGAGUGGUCUUCCACAACCUCUGGUAUUUAGGAGCAGAUAACAGCCACUGGAAGAGCAGAGGCCCCUGUAGAACAACAGAAAAGAAGGAAGGGAAUAGUUAGAUUUGGAAGGUGGAGAGUACUAAGCUUAGAGAUGAGUAUGCUGCUCUGUAAGCAGUAUGUAUUUUCCUAUACUUUUAGGGAAGAAGUUGUUAACUGAUUACUCAAGAAAGAGCAAACUUCCUUCUGCCUAGUGACUCAGUCAGCAUGAUGCUCUCUAAUGUAUUUACAUGCAACAAUCCAUUACUCUUAUCUUGCUCCAAUCCAUAAAUGCUAAUGAUGCAAAACUGUGGAUGGUGUUCCUGGUGGUAACUCGUUACUACUCUUGGCUGAAGCUAUGUAUGAGGGUAAUUAGUGUGGAGGGACAAACAUUGUCUGGGAGAUGACUGCUCCCUGAACUCAUUCUUAAAGGGAUUUAUAAUAUCAUCCCCUUAAUGGCUGAGACCAGGAGCCUUGAAACACCCAAGAGAUAAAUCUUUGCCUCUCAGUUCAUUAGGAUAAACUUUGGAAAAAAGUGUAACAACACAGAGGAAGAACUAUUUCCUACUAUAGGUGCUCAUUCUGUCACAGCAAGUCCAAUUCAUGGAGUCUAUAGAAGAAGCUGGUUUAAGAUCACAAUGGAAACAGGGAAAUCCUAGAAAGUACAAUCCAAGUAUAAGACUUCUGAACAACGGAGGAGAAGAAACCUAUUGGAAUGACUGUAUGGGUCACUGGGAAAGUUAUGAUUUCUUGAGCAGAAGGUCCGUAUUUAGGAAGAAACAUAAGAUGGAGCUGAGGGUGGGAUGCUAUUAAGCAAAGGUAGAGGCAAAUGGACAAUCUACAUUCAGAGACCUGGAAGUAGACCAGAAGUUUAAAUGGAGAAGAAGGAGCUUCUGUCUGAAGAGGUGAACACAAUGGAUGGCUCAGUCUCUGAGAACUGGGAAAGCAGUAUGAAAGAACGAACCAAAAAGGGAUGAGGAGGUAUUAGGUGGGAAUUACCUCCUUUAAUACUGGAACUACCUGGAUACAGAGCUUCAUUUUCACUCAGUUGCAGAAGAAACUCCACCUUCUCUACUGCUCAGUGGCCAAGGAAAGGCUGCACCCGGCGAGGGAAAAUGUUUGAGGGCUGUGCUUACUUCAUCCAUAUUGCAGGACCCCAAUGAGGUGCUGGUCAUAUACCUACUGGACAGUUUAUAAGAGGGGAAUCGAGGCUUGGCACUUACAUUUAACAGGUAAAUUUUGCUGUUAAUCAUAAAGCUGACCAGAGUAACAAUUUCCAUGUAAUCAAGCUGCAUAUCAGUGUAUCUAUGACCCUGUAUAACACAAUUCUCAUGUCUUCAUUACUGUAAAGUAUUCCUUCUAAUCUCUUUUCUUACUUUCUCUCCUCCCUCUCUCCCUACCUCUCUCACUUCCUUCCCUUCCUUUUCUCCUUCCUCCUUUUUUUUUCUUUCCUCCUUUCCUUCUCCCCUUCCUUCUUUCUUCUUCCCUUCCUGCCUGCAUUAAUUCCCUCAGCCCCUCCCUUCCUUCCUUUCCUCCUUUAUUUUUCUCUUUCUCCUUUCCUCCAUGCCUAUGGUGUGCUGAUGCUGAGACUGAGCAGUGUUGGUCUGUGGUGAGCUGAGUGGCUUUGUGAGUUUGGCUUCAUUUAGUGUGGUGCUACUGAAAUGACAUCCAAAGAGUGCUGAUAGACUCUCUCCUUUUCUGUUGCUUUCCUCAUUAGCAGCAGCUACAGUUGCCAACAGGCUGUAGUGAAGUCAGAAAGGGAACAGGCACAGUGCAGCUGAGAAUAUCUCAAUUUUUUUGGUUCACACUUGCAGAAACAUUGGUGCCAGAAGAAAGGACAGGCUCCUGCAAUUUCUUCAGGUUUGUCACUUCUGACAGGAAGGACUUGAAAACUUUGAGAAUGUAUAAAUCUUGGUUAAAACAAACAAACAAAAAAAGAAGAAAGGGACUACACUUUUACAAAGAGAUUUUGUGGCAUGACCUACUCCCCCUGCUCUCCUGCUGCUUUGUUAAUUAGUUUUGCUUCUACCCAGCACGGAUGAUAAUGAGAGCCUCUUUCUUUUGUUUGGUUUUCCUUUCUCCUUUUCUCUCUUUUUUUCAGUGGGACAGCAACACAUGGCACAAAGAGGAGGGAUAUGAGAGAGGAACAUGGCUGUCUUGGUGGGGAUGGCAAUGGCAUGCAGCGAGGGCAGCCUCUGAAGCUCUGUCUCCUCUGGCCCAGCCACCCAGCCCUGCAUGCCAUUUGUUCAUUACCCAGAAAUGUUUCAACAGCUUGUGCUGAAUUUAUUUACUGGCAGGUGUUCCAGGGAGGCGGACAUGGCAUUUAUCAGGUUCUAGUUAGAAAACUCUGUUCCUUUUGACAGUAAAUUGAAGAGCCACUACUCUAUUAGGAAAAAGGUAUUAUGUACAGAGCACAUAUUAAUAAUUGUAUCUCUGUCUACAGUGACUUAGUGUGAAAUACUCAAGCUUCCACCUCAAUUGUUAAUUCAUUAUGCUGUUUGGUUUUGAGCAUACCACAGGAUUAAAAGCAGCUUCAAGAGAUCUCCUAAUGCAAUGUAAGUGCAGCUAUUCACACUGAAGCCCAAGGUGAAAAAGAAUGCUCCUGAGCACAUCCAUCAGCCUUUGCACUGCCUGGCAUUGCUGUCCUUGUCUGAGUGAUGGCUACUCCUUUCCCAUGGUUUUCUCCCCAGCGUCACGGGUUGGAGGAUGUUCUGCUCCCAGGAGGGGUUUUGCCCUCCUACUGACAGAUGCUGCCAGUGCCUUUCUCUGACCCAAACCUACUUCCUAUCUGCUUUGUAUUCCAGUUCAUUCAUCAUUGCUAGAGUCUCUAAAUGUUGUCUGGCUGUCCAUCACAAGACAUUUGGGGCAUCUGUUACGAUAAGAUUCAUUUGAGUCAUCUGUAUACAUUAUUAUUCUUCCCUGAUUGCAGGCUAAAGUAACCCUGGUUGUAGGGUCUCUGUUCUUUUCAAACUGGCUUGCCUAUCUUGGCAUUUCUUGCUGCAUCUGCUUGCUUGCGUGCUUUGAAAGAUGCUGCCCCUCUUCAUACCUUCUGAUGGAUCCUGGAAAACAUCUAUUGAGAAUAUACAGUUGACCACUGCAGUGCUCUCAGGUUCUAAAAGUCUGUUCUGGUGCAUAGCUCAUCUCUUCAUCAAGGUAAAGGGUUAAAUGGAAAAAUCUUUCUCUUCUUUCGUAAGCCCUCACUUUAUUGCCACCAGAAUUUGGAUUCUUACAUGAACUGUGAUUUUUCAAUCUUAUGUUUUUUAGUGUUAAGCUAAACCAAUUCUACUUGCUUCCUGAACUGACCCUUGGGACACCACUGAGUGAGCCCUGUGCACAGUUCUUGAAAGUGUUUGUGCACCCUGCAAGUUACAUGUUCUUCAGGGUUGUUUCCCUUUCCUUCCUCAGAUUCAGCAGAAGUUUCCAAGAGAUUAAAUCACAGUACACUGGGGAGGGAAAAGGUGCAGGAAGACUCUAUUUCCAGCCCAGGUACUGUUACCAAGAUGACAAAAGUGGGUAAUUGCACUCCAAAGAUGUGACAAGGAUAUGAGCUGACCCUGGGCAGCCCAUGAGAGCCAUUUUAGUCAGGGACACCAAAUCUUGGCCACUGACUGGGUUGCCCAGUUGUUCCCUAGAAGUAACAGAGAGUAACACCAAAGUGCCUUGGAUCUGUCACCAAGUCCUCCUUGUUCCAGCUGCAGCAAGAAAGACGUGUUUGCCCAGCUUCUCCCAGGUCUGCCACAGUGAAAUGGCUCUGGGAGCCUCUGCUUAAACCACAUUCCCCAUUCCACUAUGUGGCAGGUUUGAUUCAUGUGCAUAAGCAGUGACAGCAAGGGAUGGACGAACCCAUAUAAUCUGUGAUUUGUAGGAAAAAGCUUUGGAUUUCCUUUUUUUUAAAGAGGGGUGGAACAGUCUGUUUGGGGCUAAAUCACUCCAGCACUGGUUUGACUUAGCUGACAACUGGCUCUUGCAAAUGUUGCCAAAUGUCAGCAAGCAGAAAUUAUUUUAUGGGGCAUUUAGAUUUAGUACAUGUUAGAAUUUGGAAGAGGCAUCUUGAUAUCCAGUGAUCCCAAAUAUUUCAAUAACUAUGUAUUUUGUUUUGGAUAUGGAGAGUGAGGUUCUCCUCUGCCUGCAGGGCAGAGUCAAUCCUGUGCCAUUUUUACCCAUUGAGGAGCAGCAGGAACAUCUUCGCUUCCAUCGCAUGGAGAGUGACUGCAUUUCACAUUUUAGAGAAGAGAUGCAGGCUGUGACAACAGAACUGAAAGAAGGAGCUGGGAAUAAAAGGCAAGCGCCUCUCAGGAGGAAAGGCAGAGAGAACAUGGAUAAAACUUCUGCUUGGCUGCACUGAUGUUCCUCUCUCCAGCAGUGCCCUCCCUAAUCACAGCACACCAUGCCUGCUCAUAUUGCCUUCCUCACUGGCAGUUCCAUUCAGGCCAUCUAAUUAGCCAGAAGAGGCAGCAGGGGUAAACGAAUAGCAACCAGCCUGCUCCAAAAGUCCCGGCUCUGUCACAAACCCACUGCUCAUUUCCUACUGGCUUCCUUUCCUCUCUUUGUGACCUUUGUUUCUGCGGUACUGCCUAGAGUUCAAUGGCAGGUGUAGCCAUUCAUAAUUCAUGUCUCUAAGAGACAUCACGAGGCACAGUUUCUCACAUGACACGGUCAUGCAGCCACACACACUAACAUUCAGGUCAUCGCCAUCCCUGACCACCAUCCUCACACACCAGAUCUUCACAGGGGCUUGGGAGGUCAUUUAGAGCAUCCUCCCACCUUAACCACAGUUGCCUUAAAUAUCUUAUACUGAGUACGUACAAGGUGUGACAAAGGGGAAAGCAAGUCUGGAUCAGACCCUAUGGAUGCUGCCCUACAAGUGGUAAAUGGUAAUAAGGAGAGUAUGGUCUAAAUACCAGAGUAAAAUACAUGCAAGUGAAUAUUUGGUUGCUGUUGCUGUUGUAGGUCAAAGCAGGGAUUUAGGUAUAUAAACCUGGGCACUCCUUGAGUAUCUUGCCUAUAAAAGCCAACAAUGAAUGCAGCACUUUCCCCUUUUCACCUGCUGCAACUUCAAUCUCUUAAAAACUAUAAAUAAAUAAAUGGUACACUGAAUACAAUACAGAAUUCAGCAGUUUUCCUUUUCAGUUGGCUAAGUGACCUCCUCUAUUAAAAACCUCUUGAAUUACAACUUUGAGAAGAAAUACUGCAGAUACCGUAGCGCAGAUAAGUGGCAUGUCAAUUGCAGUAGGUUAAAAUACUAUGUUAUUUUAGCAGGUGAAUUUCUAGAAGACAACUGUGGAAGCUGUCACAGCCUGAAUGAGAUCAUCACUGAAUUAUACCUGCUGAAAGACAGUAACAUAUCACCAGUACAGCCAUAAAGCUGUAUGCAACAUUUGUGCAUGUGAUACACUCUGACCUGAGCUCCAGUAAUGCACUGUGUGGGUCAGGCAGAGCAUGCCCUGUGUGUGACCAGGGUUUGGGCUUCGAAAGUUUUGCCUUGGCUGCUAUGGGCUUUGGAUGGCAGCCUUCAUCCUAAGGGCACUACCUAAGCUUGCAUUGAUAUUACUUAUUCUGAUACCUUUUGUUUUGUGCAGAGAAAUCUCCUGGCUGGUUCAUCUGGAGAUGAGAGCACGUCUUCCAGAUGAGAGUAUUGUCACACACACUCAGACUUCUCCCAUGAACAUGCAGCCCCCGCUGUCUCAAAAGAAAAAGCUGAAAACAACCCAAGUGCCAGAGCUGCUCCUUAAAAUAUUAAAUGCGCAAAUAUUUUACAAAUAGUAUCUUAGCUGUGAAUAAUAACCUGAUAGUGCCUGGGAGAUGCAGACAACUCACAUCCCCCCUUUCUAUAUGAACUGUUGUUCUGUGACUUCCAGAUGCCAAAUACAUUAUUAAACAAGUUUGAAAAAGAUGCUGGAGCUUUCCUUCCUGAGAGGGAGGGUGAUGCUUAUCACCAGAUGGAUUUGGCAUGUAAGUCACACUGCCACUAAGUAACUGAUCAACAUCUUUCACCAAUUUUAUCACAUUCAGAGCUUACUUCUCUAGCUGGGAAUAUGUUACACUAAUUCCUUCUCCUUUGAUGCCCCAAGGCUACUGGACCAUGUCACCAGUGAUACACCAUCUCCCUGGCAUUGGGAUGGUGACAAACGUGGACCCAAUCUGCUGGGCAGGCAGCAGAGCUGACACAGCAUUACGAGGAAGCAAGAAAGAGAAAAGAUUUCUUCAGCCAAAUUCAGAACAUCUCUGGUGUCUGCAAAAAAGACAUGGGUCACAGAAGCUGCUGAGCCGACCACUGCAGGACGUGCAAGGGGAGCUGAACAGAAGGCUUCAGAUUCUAUAUUCGUGUUUGCUCUGCACCGUGUUUGCUGUGAGCAUAUUGUCAUGUUCUGUAUGAUCCUCGAUGAUCUUUCAAGAAAUAGUGACCUUUAUCAUUGAAAAUAUGAAGGACUUCUAACUUCCUUGGGAUUGGAUGCACAAAAAUUCAAAUGGAUCAUGAGAAACCUAUGUGUGAAAUUAAUGCUAGCAUGUCAUUCAAAUUUUUAUUUUGGUUAGGUGAUUUAUUUAUUUAAGCUACAUGGUAUACAGAAAUCAUAACCAA